GACGUAGGGCGCGAGCGUUGUCCGGAUUUAUUGGGCGUAAAGAGCUCGUAGGCGGCUUGUUGCGUCGACCGUGAAAACCCGGGGCUCAACUUCGGGCUUGCGGUCGAUACGGGCGGGCUAGAGUUCGGUAGGGGAGACUGGAAUUCCUGGUGUAGCGGUGAAAUGCGCAGAUAUCAGGAGGAACACCGGUGGCGAAGGCGGCUCACUGGCUCGUAUCUGACGCUCAGGCGCGACAGCGUGGGGAUCAAACAGG
rnacentral:rRNA from 1 species